rnacentral:tRNA from 1 species
GCUGUGAUGGCUGAAUGGUUCAAGUAUUGUACUAAAAAUCCAAUAAGGUUUCAUUGCACAGGUUCAAAUCUUGCUCACACUG